rnacentral:rRNA from 1 species
GAUGAACGCUGGCGGCGUGCCUAAUACAUGCAAGUCGAGCGAACAGACGAGGAGCUUGCUCCUCUGACGUUAGCGGCGGACGGGUGAGUAACACGUGGAUAACCUACCUAUAAGACUGGGAUAACUUCGGGAAACCGGAGCUAAUACCGGAUAAUAUAUUGAACCGCAUGGUUCAAUAGUGAAAGACGGUUUUGCUGUCACUUAUAGAUGGAUCCGCGCCGCAUUAGCUAGUUGGUAAGGUAACGGCUUACCAAGGCGACGAUGCGUAGCCGACCUGAGAGGGUGAUCGGCCACACUGGAACUGAGACACGGUCCAGACUCCUAAGGGAGGCAGAAGUAGGGAAUCUUCCGCAAUGGGCGAAAGCCUGACGGAGCAACGCCGCGUGAGUGAUGAAGGUCUUCGGAUCGUAAAACUCUGUUAUUAGGGAAGAACAAAUGUGUAAGUAACUAUGCACGUCUUGAAGGUACCUAAUCAGAAAGCCACGGCUAACUACGUG